AAAGAAACAAAACUGGUGAUCAGAUGUCUAAGGUUGGGGCAAAUAAAUUGGAUGGUAAAAGCGACAAAUUAAAGGAAGGAGGCAAAAAUUAUGAUCAAAUCUUCAUGUUUGGAGCAAAU